GAUGAACGCUGGCGGCGUGCCUAAUACAUGCAAGUCGAGCGAACAGGCGAGGCGCUUGCUCCUCUGUCGAGAGCCGCGAACGGGUGAGUAACGCGUGGAUAAUCUCCCUAUAAGUGUGGGAUAACUUCGGGAAACGGAUGCUAAUACCGAAUAACAUCUUGAACCGCAUGGUUCAAUAGUGAAAGACGCUUUUGCUGUACCAUAUGGAGAGCUCCGGGUCGCUUUAGUUGGUUGGUAAGGUAACGGCUUACCAGGGGAACUAUCGGUAGCCGACCGGAGGGGCUGAUAGGCCACAUGGGAACGUGGACACGGCCAAGACUCCUACGGGAGGCAGCAGUAGGGAAUCUGCCGCAAUGGGCGAAAGCUUGACGGAGCAACGCCGCGUGAGUGAGAAAGGUCUUCGGUGCGUAAAACCCGGUUAUUAGGGAAGAACAAAUUUGGAAUUAAAUAUGCACGGCGUGACGGUAACUAAUCAGAAAGCCACGGCUAACUACGUG
rnacentral:rRNA from 1 species